rnacentral:rRNA from 1 species
GACGAACGCUGGCGGCGUGCUUAACACAUGCAAGUCGAACGGUGAAGCGCUUUCCUUUUUGGUUGGUGUGGAUGAGUGGCGAACGGGUGAGUAACACGUGAGUAACCUGCCCCCUUCUUCUGGAUAACCGCAUGAAAGUGUGGCUAAUACGGGAUAUUCUGCGCCUGCUGCAUGGUGGGUGUGGGAAAGAUUGUGCCUUUGGGUGUUUUCGGUGGGGGAUGGGCUCGCGGCCUAUCAGCUUGUUGGUGGGGUGAUGGCCUACCAAGGCGGUGACGGGUAGCCGGCCUGAGAGGGUGGACGGUCACACUGGGACUGAGACACGGCCCAGACUCCUACGGGAGGCAGCAGUGGGGAAGAUUGCACAAUGGGCGCAAGCCUGAUGCAGCGACGCCGCGUGAGGGAUGGAGGCCUUCGGGUUGUGAACCUCUUUCGCCAGUGAAGCAGGCCUGCUCCUUGUGGGUGGGUUGACGGUAGCUGGAUAAGAAGCGCCGGCUAACUACGUG